UCUUAUUCUCCCAUACAUCAGACACAUCACCCAUCGUGGCCGUGCUCUUACAUUCGAGCAGGAUCUUUGUGUUGCGUUACGUUUUUUUUUUUUACAAACGGUAGUUUUCUUUUUAACGUUGGAGAUGCUGAGCAUGUUAGUAAAGCGACUGUAUAUAGAAUAGUUCGACCUCAAGCGAUUUCCUUGCCACAAAAUCCUCAGAGCCAUCUAAGAGAAGUUUCACAGGAUUGCAGAUCCUGUUUCCGUUCCUGUCGCCACUUCGGCGGUUCACGUCUCAGUUCCUGCCGCCGCUCCGGCGCCUCCAACCCAAGCUCCAAACGCCGCCCCCUCUGUUCGCCACUCGGACCCAGCUACAGAGACCCAGCCCCCGCCGCUCUCAGCGCCUCCGACGACGGUCAGCCGCAGGCGCUCUGGACGACGUCGGCGAGGGCGCGGUUCCAGAGUCCUGGGCUCCGAGACCUCGGUCGUGGUGACCGAGCAGCUCCCUUCUCCGGCAGGGGACUCCCGUGGUUCCCCCACUGACUGUGUCACGCCUAUAGCAGUCUGCCCCUGGACCUGAUUCAGCCUGCUCCGUCUGUACCGAUAUCUGUGACCUAUUGUGUAUGACCCGGACUGUCUGUUAUAUCGAGAACUGGAUUAAACCUUUAAAUUCUACUAUCUGUCUGAGAUCUCUGUGCUGUGCACGUGGGUCCUUUCUUUGCCGUUCCGUGACACAUACUGUAACUGACGUAUCAUUGUUUACACCACCAAGAUCACAUGUGAUGCUGUACAUAUUAUAACAAACGUGAAGGCCAAGUGGCCCAGCUCUGGUCAUGACUCAUGAAUAUAUUGUGAGUCAACCCUAAGUAACAGGCUGCACUGUGGUAAGUACAUGUAUGCCCUAUACACUUAUUUCAAUGCAUGCACUACACACUCACGGGAGCACUUCUAUGCAGCACUAAUGUAAUGUGAACUUUCUUCUAGGAGAGAUUGACGGCUUUCUGCUGGAGAUAGGGGUUACCGAUGCCAACCCACACUACUGACCACUUACCCAGAACCUGAAGCAGGCCCCCAGCAGCGUUUUAAUGUGGCACUGCAGAACAAGAGCCCGGGUGGAAAUGACCAUAGGCCGAUUGAAAGCACGUCACCUCAGGGUAAGACCUGAGAGGCAUGUGACAUUAAUGUGGCAUGUGUUGUUCUCCACAAUAUUGCAAUUAUUAGAGGGGAGCAACACCCUGCCCUACAAAUAUAAGACCCUGAGGAAGACUCCUUCCAUCAUGGUAAUCUGCAGGGUGGAUGGACAGUCAGAGAUGUGAUUUGCCGUAAUGUCUCAAUCAACCAUCACCACCACCAAUAAAAGAAACUGAAUAAAUGCA
rnacentral:lncRNA from 1 species